rnacentral:rRNA from 1 species
GACGAACGCUGGCGGCGUGCCUAAUACAUGCAAGUAGAACGCUGAAGGAGGAGCUUGCUUCUCUGGAUGAGUUGCGAACGGGUGAGUAACGCGUAGGUAACCUGCCUGGUAGCGGGGGAUAACUAUUGGAAACGAUAGCUAAUACCGCAUAAGAGUAGAUGUUGCAUGACAUUUACUUAAAAGGUGCAAUUGCAUCACUACCAGAUGGACCUGCGUUGUAUUAGCUAGUUGGUGAGGUAACGGCUCACCAAGGCAACGAUACAUAGCCGACCUGAGAGGGUGAUCGGCCACACUGGGACUGAGACACGGCCCAGACUCCUACGGGAGGCAGCAGUAGGGAAUCUUCGGCAAUGGACGGAAGUCUGACCGAGCAACGCCGCGUGAGUGAAGAAGGUUUUCGGAUCGUAAAGCUCUGUUGUAAGAGAAGAACGAGUGUGAGAGUGGAAAGUUCACACUGUGACGGUAUCUUACCAGAAAGGGACGGCCAACUACGUG